GCUGGAUGUGGUGGAGCACACCUGUAAUCCCAGUGACUCAGGAGGCUGGGGCAGGAGGAUCGAAAGGUCGAGGCCACCCUCAGCAACUUAGUGAGACUCUGUCUCAA
rnacentral:sRNA from 1 species